GUGCACCAGGCGCGAAACCUCCGCAAUACACGAAAGUGUGACGGGGCCAUCCCGAGUGCCGUCCGCUGAGGACGGCUUUUCCCCAGUGUACACAGCUGGGGGAAUAAGGAGAGGGCAAGCCUGGUGUCAGCCGCCGCGGUAAUACCAGCUCUCCGAGUGGUGGGGACGCUUAUUGGGCCUAAAGCAUCCGUAGCCGGCUGGGCAAGUCCUCCGUUAAAUCCAACGAUUCAAUCGUUGGGCUGCGGGGGAUACUGUCCAGCUUGGGGGCGGGAGAGGCCGACGGUAUUCCCCGGGGUAGGGGUGAAAUUCCUAUAAUCCCCGGGAGGACCACCAGUGGCGAAGGCUGUCGGCUAGAACGCGCCCGACGGUGAGGGAUGAAAGCUGGGGGAGCGAACCGGAUUAGGAUACCCCUGUAG
rnacentral:rRNA from 1 species